rnacentral:rRNA from 1 species
AGAGUUUGAUCAUGGCUCAGAUUGAACGCUGGCAGCAGGCCUAACACAUGCAAGUCGAACGGUAACAGGAUUAGCUUGCUAAUCGCUGACGAGUGGCGGACGGGUGAGUAAUGCUUGGGAACUUGCCUGUGCGAGGGGGAUAACAGUUGGAAACGACUGCUAAUACCGCAUAACGUCUACGGACCAAACGGGGCUUAUGCUCCGGCGCAAACAGACGCCCAAGUGAGAUUAGCUAGUUGGUAAGGUAAAGGCUUACCAAGGCAACGAUCUCUAGCUGUUCUGAGAGGAAGAUCAGCCACACUGGAACUGGAGACACAGUCCAUACUCCUACCGGAGGCAGCAUUGGGGAAU